rnacentral:rRNA from 1 species
CUGGCUCAGGAUGAACGCUGGCGGCGUGCCUAACACAUGCAAGUCGAACGGAAGCUUAACGCUGACGAGACUUCGGUCAAAUCUUGUUAAGCUUUAGUGGCGGACGGGUGAGUAACGCGUGGGCAACCUGCCUCAUACUGGGGGAUAACAGUUGGAAACGACUGUUAAUACCGCAUAAGCGCACUAGAGUCGCAUGACUCAGUGUGAAAAACUCCGGUGGUAUGAGAUGGGCCCGCGUCAGAUUAGCUAGUUGGUGGGGUAAAGGCCUACCAAGGCGACGAUCUGUAGCCGGACUGAGAGGUCGGACGGCCACAUUGGGACUGAGACACGGCCCAAACUCCUACGGGAGGCAGCAGUGGGGGAUAUUGCACAAUGGAGGAAACUCUGAUGCAGCGACGCCGCGUGAGUGAAGAAGUA